GGAGGGCAGUGAAGUCCAGCAGUGAAGAAGAGCAUCUACUGAAGCCAGUUCACACCUCAAACAUCUAAAGCUACAACUUUACUCUGAGGCAUGUCUCAGAGGAGCAAAGCAUCCUCAAGUCAGAGCUCUUCCUCUCGCCCCUCCUCUGCCUCGGACAACCCCCCGCUGCGCUCGGCUCUGAAGCACGGCUCUAAAGACUCAAAGGACUCUAAAGACUCUAAAGGCUCCCGCCGCCGCCGCAGCCUAACCCAGGGUUCUGUCUACCUGCCCUACCUCAAUGCAUUGUUCGGACAGGUCAGCUACAACACACUGUACACACACAAACACACACACACACACACACACACACAGUAUAAAAAGGAAAUUAACAGUACAGAAAAUUCACGGUUCAGUUCACACCUUGCCUUCUGUAUUAUGAAGUUAA
rnacentral:lncRNA from 1 species